UUCCUGCAUUCUCGCGUUCUCAGCUCCUGGAACUGAGCUAAACAAAUACCUCCAACACCCUCCCACCCUCUCCCGAUACACACACACACACACACACACACAGAGCACAGUAUAGACAGGAAUUACAGGAAAGAAGUUCUCGGUUCCCUUCUCUACAUACUGGAGUACUCGCAGUGGCUGACCCCAAGGUUUCUGCAUGUUUGAAAGAAUGACAAGAGGAUGGCAGCCCUGCACAAGUUUUGAAGCAGUGUAUCAGGAAGAAGGCAUCACUGGUGCAGAGACUCACAGGCAGAGGGUCUCAUCAGGUUGAAAAUAAAUCUACCCUUAAAGAUUAAUAAAAUCCAAGGGCAACAAUAAAGUAUGGUAACAUGGAAGGAACAAGACCUGCCUCAGUGUUUAAGGAAAAGACCAUAUCACCAGAACCCACUGGUUCCUUGCUGUGAUUCAACUCAGUAGCCAUGUCAGCAGCGAGCUGCCAUGCACAGGGCCACAGAUUGGGUGGCAUAAACAACACCUUCCUUACCACUCUGGAGGUCAGAAGUUUGAGUUGAAGGUGUCAGCCAGGGUGCCAGUCAUAUUGGAUCGGGACACACUCCAGUGAACCUACUAAAUCAUAAUUACUUCAAGACCGUAACUCCAUAGUCACUUUUUAAAGUUCUAAUUGGUUACAAUGUCAACAUUUGAAUUGGGGGGACACA